rnacentral:rRNA from 1 species
UUGAUUUAGGAAAGGGAAGUCGUAACAAGGUUUCCGUAGGUGAACCUGCGGAAGGAUCAUUGUCGCAUCGCAUCUCUCUCUCGACGCACCCGCGAACGGUUGACCCCGACCCUUUUAUUAAACUCGCCGGCGGGGCGGAGGCGGGGGGCGGACGAACGGUCCCUCGGCUCUCGGUUAUGUACGGCUCGGCUCGGCUUGCGUCCGUCCGACCGUCCGUCCGCCGCGCCUCCUCCGCCCCUCCGCACGCCCUCCUCCCCACGCGUCGUCCUCGUCGGCGGCCGCGGGGCGGCGGGACGACGAACCUCCCGGCGCGGCCUGCGCCAAGGAUCACGUACUGGGGCCGCCCGCGCGCGGGCCUCGCUCUGAGCGGGGAGGUGCGCGGCGUCGGUCGCCACGAACGAGUCUCCGAACGACUCCCGGCAACGGAUAUCUCGGCUCUCGCAUCGAUGAAGAACGUAGCGAAAUGCGAUACGUGGUGUGAAUUGCAGAAUCCCGCGAACCAUCGAAUCUUUGAACGCAAGUUGCGCCCGAGGCCGCCGGGCCGAGGGCACGCCUGCCUGGGCGUCACGCCCCGCGUCGCUCCCCGCCCCCCUCGCCUGCGGUGCCGGCACGCACCGCGCGGCGACCGAGGACGGGGACGCGGAGAUUGGCCUGCCGUGCUCCGGUGCGGCGGGCUGAAGACCUCGGCCCUCCCGCGGGGGCGAGCACGGCGACCGGUGGACGGAUUCGGCGCCGCGGGCACUGCGGACAGUACGCACUCGUCCUCGUGUGCCCGUCGCCGCCGGACGGAACGGAACGGAACGGAGCGCCGCUUAGUCGCCGCGAGGGGGAAGGAAAGGAACGGACGAGGAGAGCCGGCGAGCGAAGGAACCCACUCCCGAGCAGAUGCGGGCCGUCGCUCGGAUUGCGACCCCACGUCAGGCGGGGCCGCCCCCCGAGUUUAGUUUUAUCAUUUCGCGGAGGAAAGGAA